CCAAGAAUACUGGACUGGGUAGACUAUCCCUUCUCCAGGGGAUCUUCCCGACCCCAGGAAUCGAACAGGGGUCUCGGACAAUGCAGGUGGAUUCUUUACCAGCUGAGCUACCGUGGUGUCUUGAGAGCGGUCAAUUUCAGGGGUUCACGGUAUCCUAACUCCGUUGCUUAGACAUUCCCAUGAUAGGGAAGCGGCAAGGAGGCCGCGGAAAUGCUGGGACCCGCCCGCCACCCUUCUAUCGCCGCAAAGGUUUCCGUGACGUAGGGGCUCAUUCAUAAAACACUGUUAUAAACUUAGGCGGCCGCGACUGGUUCUUGCCAACCGCACUUCGAGCAGCCCAGCCGUGGGCGGAAAGGCAGAGACCGCCCGCUGCCCCCGGGCUCCGCCCCCGAAUUCCUCUCGCCUGUCACCACGUGGCGUCCUCCCGCUUCGCCUGCGCUGGCAGGACCAAGACAGUCUCUCUUGAUGCCGUUCCCUGGCUGACUUCCACCGCGGGCUCUCCAGACCACGCUCAGGAAGGUUGGGCUAGAGGGGCCGGCAGCUUGGGGGUCACUCCUUCGCUGGGAAGGGAGGCUUCUCGGAGCGCUGGAUGUGCUGGAAGCGCGCGCACUGUUGUCCCAGUGAGAACGGUCCCUUCCUCGCGCCGGCUGUUUCUGAGCUCUUCGGCCCUUGGCUCGGUGGCUGGUGUCCAACGAGAGCCGAGCAAACGGGUGCCAAACGUACUCCUCACUGGAGGCCGGCUUCCCGAGGGGACAGCAGAAAGCGGCCGUCCUCUCUCCGACGGCCCCCCGGAGCAGGCAGGAGGGGCGGGUGUGGGAAGAAGUUCAUUGAUAAAAUGCGAGUUCCUUCAGGUGACUCUAGGGGGCUCCUGCGUCAGUGCAGAAGUUGGGUAUGCUUAUAAACAACCCCUGCGACUGCGUUCCUAUUAUUCCCUCAGUAUCCCUGGCUUGAAAGAGGGCCGAUGACUCAGCUGGUAAAGAAUCCGCCUGUGGAUGCAGGAGACAUAGAGAGGAAGUUUCCAUCCGUGGGUCGGUAAGAUGCACUGAAAGAGAAAAUGGCAACCCACUCUAGUAUUCUUGCCUGAAGCAUCCCAUGGACAGAGGAGCCUGACCGGCUACAGUCUAUGGGGACCAGCACCUGGGGGUGGGGGGCUGCUAACAAACCAGAAGAGUGGGGUCCCCUAGAUGAGUGCUAUUUCUGGGGAUCAGGGCAGUGUACACAGGCAACAGUCAUGAUUUCAUGGGGAUUUCACUGGUGGGUUGGAAUAUCACUAGGUCACAGGGGAAGAUAAGGGAAGCUUGAGUUGGGGCCACAGCUGCAUCACUCUUGUGUAUCUGGUCACCCGGGCGGGGUGCCUACAGCCAGUCUGCGGGAACGCUGAGGCAGAAGAAUAUUUAACUUAAAUAUUUUAUAAUACAAACAUACAUUACCAUAUGUAAAACAGACAGCCACUGGGAAUUUGCUUUAUGACUUAGAGAACUCAAACCUGUGUUCUGUGACAACCUAGAGGGGUGAGAUAGGAUGGAAGGAGGGAAGUUCAAGCCAGAGGGGCCACACCUAUACCUAUGGCUGAUUCAUGUUGAUGUAUGGCAGAAACCAACACAAUAUUGUAAAGCAAUUAUCCUCCACUUAAAAAUAAAUUUUAAAAAUUUAAAAGUUUAUGUUACAAGGGUCUUAAAAGACAAGAGGCAGAAAACACAACAGGGACGCCUUCAGGAACAUUCCAUGCCUCGCCUCCUUCACUAGAGCCUCUGCAAUUCCUCCGCCAGCUCUUCUCCAGACCUCUGGGCCCCAGGGUCCUCUGGAGACACCUUUCUCCUGGAGGGAUGCUGAAAAAGAACUACCCAGAAGCUUCUGCUCCGUUUGAGAGCGCCAGGCUGAUGACGUCAAUGAAAGGGGCGUUGCCGGCUCGCAUGGUCAGAGGCCAGACUUCCUGCGCUGCCAGAGCGGGAUUUUCGUUUUGAGGCUGGUGUCCCCGCACUCGCUAGGAUCUGUAAACGGGAUUUGGGUUGCUAUUUCCACUUCCAGGGGAUCUUCCUGACUCAAGGGUCGAACCCGCGACUCCUGCAUUGGUAAGCGGAUUCUUUUUUGUCAGUGAUUGGGGCACGGUGUAAAAGGGAGAGGAAGUGUCUUCUAGAAUCCCCCUGACACCAUGCCGCUGGUGUGGAAGGACUCGUAGGGCAAAGCGCACACCCCACAGUCCGGAGACCGUUCUGUAUGUCUCAGCCAGACCCCUUCCCGAGUGUAGGACCUUGAGCAACUUUCCCUGCUGCCCUUGGCUUUUAUAUUAAAGUUCCUCCAACUGGAUUGAAAGAAUAGAAAACGCGCGUGAGAUACCUGACGUGUAUUCCCGUGUCCAGUGCGGUCCAGGGAGCAUCACUCUGGCUCUCUUUUCAUGGAGGUGCCUCCUGGGCCUAUGUUGAUGGCAGAGGCUCAUCCCUGGGGGAAUCUGACCCUUGGGCUUCCCUGUCCUGUAUCCUCUAUAAAGAUAAGGACUGGGAUGGGGAAGAACAGCAGUUGUCUGCAGCACUUUGGGGAUUGCUGUUCUACUAGGACAGAGAAGGUGUAAGGACAGUCCAGGAGCCCAGAAGGCCAAGGAAUUUACCUUUCAGUUUACAGCCAGUGAAACUAGCUUCCCCCUGACAGUCGUGAAUCUAUCUUCCUGUUUGUGGUUUGGUUAUAUUUGACAAGUGAGUCUGUUCAAAUGGUCAGGUAUGAUGGUGUACAGGAAUGUGGGUCCUUUUGGACAUAAAAACAAAAGAGGUCCUGGGUAACUGCAUAGCCAUCGCCCUGAGUGCCCCCAUCAUAGUCCUGAUCACUGUCAGAACUUGUCUUAUUUGUUACUUUCCCACCCACUUGACUCCCUUCCUCACUUUAUUUCGGAAUCGCUCCCAUUCGCUGUCCGGAGAGAGGCUUUCCCUGGUGCCCAAUCACAAGCAGGCAGUCACCUCAGUCAUCUCUGUUUUCUUGAGUUCAGAACCUUUAGGUCCUCUGACAUGGCUGUUGUUGUUUAGUCACUCAGUCGUGUCCUACUCUUUGCGACCCCACGGACUGCAGCACGCCAGGCUUCCCUAUCAUCAACUCCUGGAGCUUGCUCAAACUCAUAUCCAUCAAGUCGGUGGUGCCAUCCAACCAUCUCAUUCUCUCAUUCCCUUCUCCUCCUGCCUUCAGUCUUUCCCAGCAUCUGACAUGGUGGUGCCCAUUUAUUUAGUUGCUUGUUUAGGAUCUCUUUCCAGUCCCAGAGUGUGAGCACCUAUUGCUGCUCUCUGCUAAGACAGAGUAGCUGAGCCUGUAAAAGGUGCUCAACAAAUGGUUGAGUGAAUGAAUGGGUCUCCCACUCAGGUGCUCAGGUCACACUUAUAAUAGUCUUUCUCCCAACUAUGGCCCACAGGGCUAUACUAGCUCUGCCCCUUGCUUACCUCCACACUUCUCCCCCUUCUGUUCUUCCCUGCUCACUGCAUUCAUUCCUGCCCAGUGUACAGCCUUUGCUCUUGCAUUUCGUUUUGUCUGAUUCCAGAUCUCUGCAGGGCUGUCUCUCCCCUCUCCCUGUGCCUCAGUGUCUCCUCUUAGGAUAGUCUUUUCCUGGCCAUUUUCCUCUGGCUGAGAUACCCCUGGCUCCCACCUGCCCAUCUUCUGGAAACUCUCUGCCAUCUUUUGCUGAAUGUUCAAAUCUUACAUCCUUCCUUAAAUUUGAGGUUGUGACUGACUUUCUUUCCCUUCCUUCUUCUCUCCCUCUCUUCCUUCCUUCCUUCUUUUUUUAUUUUUAUUUUUUUUAUUUUUUUCCUGCAAGGCAUGUGGAAUCUUAGUUCCCCAAGCAGGGACCAAACCUGUGGCCUCUAGUGGAAGCAUGGAGUCCUAACCACUGGACCAUCAGGGAAUUCCCUGUGGCUGACUUGCUGGAGCUGCCUGGACCUCAGGCCUCUGCCUGAGACACAGAGUUGAUGAUGGCCUUUACCUCGUGGGCCGAGUGAGGGGGUUAGUAAAAGUCAAAAAGGACAUGGCACACUUCACUGUGCCAGCCCUCCCGCAUCUGAUGUGUGAACAUGUUAUUUUCUCUUUAGUUCUCAGAAUCUCGGCGCAGUGGGAAUGAGCAUAGGAUUGAUGGUGACGCUGAUGCUUGGAGAAAUGACGAGAUGUUGUGCCUACGGUCACGCUGCCAGCGAGCGUCAGACUUCAGACCCUUCAUGUGAACCCCGGAUCUCUGGCCCAGAGCAAGGGAUCUGCAGUCCCUUGCACGUCAGCGUGUGAAGCCCUCAGCCUGGGCAGGCGCUCAGACAGGGUGGUGGUGACCUUCAAGGAUGUGGCUGUGACCUUUACCCAGGAGGAGUGGGGACAACUUGACCUGGACCAGAGGACCCUGUUCCGGGAGGUGAUGCUGGAGACCUGCGGGCUCCUGGUCUCCCUGGCGUGGAAUCAAGUGGCAGACACGUGAGUGGCACCACUGGCAGCUAUCCACAGUGAGGCACUAGGGGACACUUGCUUUCCAUCCCCACGAAGCGCUGAUUGUGUAGAGGUCUUCGUUCUAAUGGGAGUUGUGCUUCUACUGCUGCAAAAGAACGACUCCGUUGUCCUGGAAGGUGACCCUGCCAGUCGGCCACUUUGUGCUCCUCAAACUUCUGAAUCAACAGGGAGAGAGCCACUGUGCUGGCUCUGGUGGCUGAGUCCGAUGCAGGAGCACGUUGGACGACACGUCCCACUGCUACUUGCACAAAGGAAGUGUGCGUCUGGAACGCAGGCGUCCCUGAAGGCGUCUUAUUGCGACCCAUGAGUAAAGUCCAUGAAAACUAUAACAGCCUGACUUAGGCAGGACAACUCACAGCCCAGACCCUUCAGGAAUGAAUGCUUGCUCACCUACCAGGGAACAAAAAGGGAAUGUCUGAAGUGGUACUGAGGACCAAAGGAGUUUGGAAUGGGUUGCAGAAGAGAUACAUACUAGUUGUGGUUAUAUGACCAUAUAGAAAUGAGGAUGCUAUGCUAUGCUAAGUCACUUCAGUCGUGUCCGACUCUUAGCGACCCCAGGGACUGCAGCCUAACAGGCUCCUCCGUCCAUGGGAUUUUCCAAGGAAGAGUACUGGAGUGGGGUGCCAUUGCCUUCUCCGAGAAAUGAGGAUAGUAACCUGUAAUGUCAUAAGUAUUUCUUCCUUCUUUUGCCAUGAAUAUGUGUGUAUAUUCAAUAUCUUUAUCUUCCUUCUUUCAUCCCCUUAUAUAACAAAAGUAGUGUUCGGUAGUUCCUGAUAGUUCAGUGGUUAGGAUUCUGCAUUUUCACUGCAGUGACCAGGUUCAAUCCCUGGUUAGGGAACUAAUCCUAUAAGUCACCUA